UCAUCUUCAUGAACACAAGAGCAGGUGUGUACCUUUGUGAGUGUGGAGAGAGAAGUGUUGGGUUCAUCAAGGUAGAGGCGUUCAGCUGUUAAAGUGGCGAGAGGUAUGAGAACUGAACAUGGACUCUGUCUGAAGCGCUUUCUAUCGGACUCAAUCCUGCUGAUCUAACAGACGCGUGAUGCUGUGCUUUCUGCUCCUGGAGCUUCACUGGAUGACCGUCACUGAAGCGCUGCAGUCGUCCAAGGAAGAUGGCAAAAGGCCGUAUAUUUACUGCUGCCGCUCGCCCAACAUGGAGAUCUUCACCUGCUGGUGGCAUCCGAUCGCUAAUCAGGACAACGUCACCUACACGCUCCUGUACACC